UACGUAGGCAGCAAGCGUUGUUCGGAAUUACUGGGCGUAAAGAGUGCGUAGGCUGUUUGUCAAGUUCGGUGUGAAAUCUCCUGGCUCAACUGGGAGGGUGCGCCGGAAACUGGCAGACUAGAGUGUGGGAGAGGAAAGUGGAAUUCCUGGUGUAGCGGUGAAAUGCGUAGAUAUCAGGAGGAACACCGGUGGUGAAGACGGCUUUCUGGACCAUAACUGACGCUGAGGCACGAAAGCGUGGGGAGCAAACAGG
rnacentral:rRNA from 1 species